UACGUAGGUGGCGAGCGUUGUCCGGAUUUACUGGGCGUAAAGAGCGCGCAGGCGGCUGGUCAAGUCCGAUGUGAAAGCUCCCGGCUUAACUGGGAAAUUGCAUCGGAAACUGAUCGGCUUGAAGGUGGGAGAGGGUAGCGGAAUUCCCGGUGUAGUGGUGAAAUGCGUAGAUAUCGGGAGGAACACCAGUGGCGAAGGCGGCUACCUGGCCCAUUCUUGACGCUGAGGCGCGAAAGCUAGGGGAGCGAACGGG
rnacentral:rRNA from 1 species